rnacentral:sRNA from 1 species
UACGCUUUUUUAAAACUCACCUUCAGCGC